rnacentral:lncRNA from 10 species
CCUCUUUCAUUCUUUGCCCUAUGUUAUAUGGCUUAGACCAAAGCCUGAGACAUUUAACCAAUUUAUAAAUAUUAAAUGCAGAAGGCAUACUUUAUCAGUUCCUGGAAACAUCAAAGAAGCUGGAAGGGGAAUGGAAAUUGGAUGGCACUUUGUGGAGGUCACUUUGCUGACAGUCAAGUAUUCAAACCAUCUCUGUACCAUAUCAGAAUUCCCUGUGGGUGAUGGAGUUGUAAAGGUCAGAGCAGAAAUUUGAGCCAGGGGUCUCAGCAGAUGGAAGACACCUGGAGUCAACACACAGUUGCACGCUCUGAAGCACACAGGAAGAUCAUUCAGAGAAGGAAUGGAGGGAAGAAGUGAAUACAGGCAGACGUGAAAAACAACCAGAAGCUCUCAAGGGGCCACAGAUACGUCCUGGGAGGUUUCUUCUUAUCAGAAAAAAAAAAAGAAAGUAGAAUUUUUCUGCUAUUGCUGUGUAUGAGUGCAUAAACAUUUUGUUACCUGACCAUAAACCUACCUUGAAAUGUGAUCAGUGUCAAUUCCACCCAAGGAUAGUGUCUCAAUGGGCUGUUAUAUCCAAUAUUAACAUGAAUUUAGUAUCUUUAGGGACACAGAAUUAUCGUUCAUCAGAAUAUUAAUUAGAAAUGUUUGAACCAUGUCAUGGUUUACUCUUUUAUUUUCUAAUUGGAAUUCAUUCCAAUA